rnacentral:rRNA from 1 species
GACGAACGCUGGCGGCGUGCUUAACACAUGCCAGUCGAACGGUAAGGCUCCAGCUUGUUGGGGUACACGAGUGGCGAACGGGUGAGUAACACGUGGGUGACCUGCCCUGCACUUCGGGAUAAGCUUGGGAAACUGGGUCUAAUAUCGGACAGGAUCAUGGUGUGGAUACUGUGGUGGAAAGUUUUUUCGGUGUGGGAUGGGCACGCGGCCUAUCAGCUUGUGGGUGGUGUAUUGGCCUACCAAGGCAGCGGCGGGUAGCCGGCCUUGGAGUGUGGACGGCGACAUUGCGACUGAGAGACGGCCCAGACUCCUAUGUGAGGCAGCGGUGGGGAGUAUUGCACAAUGAGAGGGAGCCUGAUGCGAAGACGCCGGGUGGGGGAAGACGGCUUGCGGGUUGUGAACACCUUUCACCUUAGACGAAGGGUUUCUGACGGUAGAUGGAGAAGAAGCACCGGCUAACUACGUG